rnacentral:rRNA from 1 species
CAAUAGCGUAUAUUAAAGUUGUUGCGGUAAAAAAGCUCGUAGUUGGAUUUCUACCGAAGAUAGCCGGUCGGGUCUUCGACCUUGUAUCUGGUUUUGUCUUUGGUAUCCUCAUAGGGAACGUUUCUGCGCUUUAUUGCGUGGUGCGGUAUCUAUGACUUUUACUUUGAGGAAAUUAGAGUGUUCACGGCAGGCAAACGCCUUGAAUAUAUUAGCAUGGAAUAAUAACAUAGGAUCUUCGUCCUAUUUUGUUGGUUUCUAGGGCUAAGAUAAUGAUUAAUAGGGAUAAUUGGGGGCAUCUGUAUCAACGCGUCAGAGGUGGAAUUCUUGGAUUGCGUUGCGACAAACUACUGCGAAAGCAUUUGCCAAGGAUGUUUUCAUUGAA